AGAGUCCCUCAUGCAAUCUCCCAACUGCCACAACCUCCUUAGUCACUUGGUCCUGCAAAACACAAGUUUCAGAAGAAAAAUUUGCUACAAUGUUGGAUGUUUGGGUCUGUUGAAGAGGAACUCGAAGGCAGGCAUCACACCCUUGGCUGACCUUUCUUUCAGUUUCUUUAUACGCACUGUUUCAUUUAAAUUCCACAAUUCUUCUUCUGCUCUUGUAUACGCUGCGUUUCAUUUAAUAAAUAGUUUAUCAAUAUUACUAAUUAAAAGUGUUGUAUUGAUUUAGAAGUGUGCCAAUUAUGAAUUUUAUUGUUAAUAA